AAGGAAUAUUGGGCAAUGGCCGAGAGGCUGACCCAGCCAUGCCGCGUGCAGGAAGACGGCCUUAUGGGUUGUAAACUGCUUUUCUGUCAGAAUAAUAGCACUUACGAGUAGGUGUAUGCAAGUAUGAUAGGAAUAAGCAUCGGCUAACUCCGUGCCAGCAGCCGCGGUAAUACGGAGGAUGCGAGCGUUAUCCGGAUUUAUUGGGUUUAAAGGGUGCGUAGGCUGGUAUUUAAGUCAGUGGUGAAAAAUCCGGGCUCAACCUGGGUACUGCCAUUGAUACUGGAUACCUGGAGUGUAGACGAAGUGGGCGGAAUGUGGGGUGUAGCGGUGAAAUGCAUAGAUAUUCCACAGAACACCGAUAGCGAAGGCAGCUCACUAGGUUACAACUGACGCUGAUGCACGAAAGCGUGGGGAUCAAAC
rnacentral:rRNA from 1 species